rnacentral:rRNA from 1 species
GUGGGGAAUAUUGCACAAUGGGGGAAACCCUGAUGCAGCGACGCCGCGUGAGCGAAGAAGUAUUUCGGUAUGUAAAGCUCUAUCAGCAGGGAAGAUAAUGACGGUACCUGACUAAGAAGCCCCGGCUAACUACGUGCCAGCAGCCGCGGUAAUACGUAGGGGGCAAGCGUUAUCCGGAUUUACUGGGUGUAAAGGGAGCGUAGACGGCAAGGCAAGUCUGAUGUGAAAACCCAGGGCUUAACCCUGGGACUGCAUUGGAAACUGUCUGGCUCGAGUGCCGGAGAGGUAAGCGGAAUUCCUAGUGUAGCGGUGAAAUGCGUAGAUAUUAGGAAGAACACCAGUGGCGAAGGCGGCUUACUGGACGGUAACUGACGUUGAGGCUCGAAAGCGUGGGGAGCAAACAGGAUUAGAAACCCCAGUAGUCC